rnacentral:rRNA from 1 species
UACGUAGGUGGCAAGCGUUAUCCGGAAUUAUUGGGCGUAAAGAGCGCGCAGGUGGUUGAUUAAGUCUGAUGUGAAAGCCCACGGCUUAACCGUGGAGGGUCAUUGGAAACUGGUCAACUUGAGUGCAGAAGAGGGAAGUGGAAUUCCAUGUGUAGCGGUGAAAUGCGUAGAGAUAUGGAGGAACACCAGUGGCGAAGGCGGCUUCCUGGUCUGUAACUGACACUGAGGCGCGAAAGCGUGGGGGAGCAAACAGG